rnacentral:rRNA from 1 species
UACGUAGGGUGCGAGCGUUGUCCGGAAUUACUGGGCGUAAAGAGCCCGUAGGUGGUUUGUCGCGUUGUUCGUGAAAACCGGGGGCUUAACCCUCGGCGUGCGGGCGAUACGGGCAGACUUGAGUACUGCAGGGGAGACUGGAAUUCCUGGUGUAGCGGUGGAAUGCGCAGAUAUCAGGAGGAACACCGGUGGCGAAGGCGGGUCUCUGGGACGGUACUGACGCUGAGGCGCGAAAGCGUGGGGAGCGAACAGG